rnacentral:lncRNA from 1 species
CCAAGGCAAGAGACCCCCAGAGACUCCCGCGCUCGCGACAGGGUCCCGGGAAACAGACUAUACGUCCUCCCCAGCACCAGGACGCUGCUCAGAGAGGCCCCUCCGGACUGGGGGCAGCCACCCAGCUGCCGCCACCGCGUUCUAACACCGCCCACUAGGAACAAUGGCUGGAGCAGAGGCUCCCGGGACUCUCGGCCUCCGGGUGCGGAUCCUGGGGGACUGGCCCCUCCCCCCGCCGCCCCUCCCCGGUUCCCUCUUCUCACUCUCCGCCCUCAACCGCCCUCCUCCCAAAAUGGCGACCAACCGCCUCCUUUCCCGCCAAGCCGCCCCUCGGAGGAGCAGCCGAGAGCGCGCGGCCAGGAGGCACGCGCCGGGAGCCCGGGCGGUGCGCGGCGGGCGCGAGGCCGCUCUGGGAGGCGUGAGGUGGCCCGCGGUCACGUACGCGCGCCCGCGCCGCGUGAGCGAGGAGAUCUGGGGUGGGCCGGCCUGCGCGUGCGCUCCGGGCGGCGCGGGGAAGGCGGGAGGCCGCUGGGAGCCCCGCGAGGCGCCAGGCGCGAGGCCCGGCGCGCGAGCCCCGGGGCGGGUAAAACCCGGUUGCUGCUGCCCCUGCCCCUCCCUUUCCUCCCUAUCCCCCAUUCUUAUUCUUUCCUCCUUUUUCAGUCCCUCCCCCUUUUUACAAUCUCAUUCGUUUCUUUAUUUCUUUUUUUAGGGGGCCCCGUCUGCCUUUCGAGGCGGCAGGGAGCGCGGCCCCUCACCCGCGUCACGCACGCACCUUCUGCAUCCCAACAGCUCCGGCCCUUUGCACCCCACAGGCCCUUCCCCCUUGGAGAAGACCCUCCUCAGGAGCCCCUGGCCCGCUGCACCCCCUUUUCUUUCCCACUCCGUCCCCCCGGGCCUCAACUGCCCCCUCGCAGCCCCCCAGCUCGCGCCGCGGGCCCUACCCGACCUCCGCACCUUCUGCAUCUCAGCCUUGCAUUCGCUGACCCCUUCCAGGCCCCUUCUGCUCAAAACCCCCCUUCCUCCUCCAUAGUCCCACCUUGGGGCACCCAGAUUUGUCCCGUUUUAGGAUCUGCCAGCAAAACUCCAAAUCUCUCCUCCCUUCCUUGACAUGCCCCUCCCCCUCCUUUAAGAAACUUCCUUUAGCGCCAAAAAAAGAAAAUAAAUUAAUCCAGUUUUUUUUUUUUUUUUUUUCAUCCAUUCAGGAUCACUUUCCAGCAAAUUUUUUUUCUUCACACCUAGAGUGCCCCUUUUUGGAAUACCUUUUCACUUAGAACAAACCAACUCAUUCCUUCCAGUUUCUCUCUCGUCUAAUGUUUAUAUUUUCAGUCCUCCUCCCCUACCCCCAACAGUCCCGCAAAUAUCCUUCUUUUAUCACCAGUUCUGCCCUAAUUAAGCUUCUCCCAGUAAAAUUCUCUAGGUCUCUUCCCAGGGGGUAGAAAUAAGGAAAGAAGGAACAAUUAUUUCCUCUUAUCAAAAAAACCUUUCCUCCCCACUCACAUCUCCCCUGUUGAUACUGCUUUCUGCCUUCUUCCAAAAAUUGUUACUCUUCUCCAAUUUCACAUCUGUGUUCUUGUUUCUUUGCGACCCAAGUCCUGACUGCUUCUUCCUUCCCACCACCUGCUUUCAGGGCAAAAGAAAUUGAGAGUGUCCUGCAUUUACCACUCAGCGUUCCAGGAGGACAUAUCCAAUGGUCUGCUUGUCACCUGAACCCCCUCCCUGUGGGGCCUAAACGGGGGUCCUCCUGUUCCCUGGAGAUUCACUUACUUGCCCUUCUGGUGAGUUUCCUUCCUUUGCACAUCUGCUUUGUUGGAUAGAUGUCUUUCUUUUUCAAGAGGGUUUCUAAGCAAUCCCAAAGCCCGUACUAAGGGUGAGAUCAUAGAAGUUACUGCUUUGGAGAAGUCAAGUAGGGAAAAGGGCUGUUUAUUGUGCAUGUUGACCAGUUAGGAGGAGUGCAGACAGAUUGAUGUGUGUUUCUUUAUUGACAUUUAUUGCAAAAAACGUUUUUCCUUCCCUAGCUCAGGGUAGCAACUCCGAUACUUACACGUAAGGCACAGGUAAACGGAAGAAGUAAGGAUUGUGGUGAACCAAAGAUUGUAUGUCCCAUCCAAGUGAUGCCAGUCAGUGGAAAUGCCAGGCCAGUGUUGCCAGAACUUUUGAUUUCUGUGAGAAAAGGCUUUCUUUGAGAAAAGGUUUAUUCUGAUUUUUGUUUGUUUGUUUUGUUUUUUUUGAGACGGAGUCUUGCUCUGUCGCCCAGGCUGGAUUGCAGUGGUUGAUCUCAGCUCACUGCAACCUCCACCUCCUGGGUUCAAGCAAUUCUCUGCCUCAGCCUCCCUAGUAGCUGGGAUUACAGGCACCUGCCACCAGGCCCAGCUAAUUUUUUUUUUAUAUUUUUAGUAGAGACAGGGUGUCACUAUGUUGGCCAGGCUGGUCUUGAACUCCCGACCUUGUGAUCCACCCACCUCGGCCUCCCAAAGUGCUAGGAUUACAGGCAUGAGCCACCGCGCCCGCCUGAAACCUUCUGAUUUUUAUUUUUAUUUUAUUUUAUUUUAUUUAUUUAUUUAUUUAUUUAUUUAUUUAUUUUUUGAGACGGAGUCUCACUCUGUCACCCAGGCUGGAGUGCAGUGGUGCGAUCUCGGCUCACUGCAAGCUCCGCCUCCCGGGUUCACGCCAUUCUCCCGCCUCAGCCUCCGAGUAGCUGGGACUACAGGCUCGCCACAGCGCCCGGCUAGUUUUUUGUAUUUUUAGUAGAGACAGGGUUUCACCAUGUUAGCCAGGAUGGUCUCGAUCUCCUGACCUCGUGAUCCACCCGCCUCGGCCUCCCAAAGUGCUGGGAUUACAGGCUUGAGCCACCGCGCCCAGCCAACCUUCUGAUUUUUAAAUGCUAGUAACACAUUUGGUAAUUUAAGAAUUAAGACAGUGUAGGCCGGGCACAGUGGCUCAUGCCUAUAAUCCCAGCACUUUGGGAGGUGGAGGCGGGCAGAUCACCUGAGGUCAGGAGUUUGAAACCAGC